AUACUCGUGAAUGCCUAAUUUCA
rnacentral:siRNA from 1 species